UGGGGAAUUUUGGACAAUGGGCGAAAGCCUGAUCCAGCAAUGCCGCGUGUGUGAAGAAGGCCUUCGGGUUGUAAAGCACUUUUGUCCGGAAAGAAAUCCUUGGCUCUAAUACAGUCGGGGGAUGACGGUACCGGAAGAAUAAGCACCGGCUAACUACGUGCCAGCAGCCGCGGUAAUACGUAGGGUGCAAGCGUUAAUCGGAAUUACUGGGCGUAAAGCGUGCGCAGGCGGUUUGCUAAGACCGAUGUGAAUCCCCGGGCUCAACCUGGGAACUGCAUUGGUGACUGGCAGGCUAGAGUAUGGCAGAGGGGGGUAGAAUUCCACGUGUAGCAGUGAAAUGCGUAGAGAUGUGGAGGAAUACCGAUGGCGAAGGCAGCCCCCUGGGCCAAUACUGACGCUCAUGCACGAAAGCGUGGGGAGCAAACAGGAUUAGAUACCCUGGUAGUCCACGCCCUAAAACGAUGUCAACUAGUUGUUGGGGAUUCAUUUCCUUAGUAACGUAGCUAACGCGUGAAGUUGACCGCCUGGGGAGUACGGUCGCAAGAUUAAAACUUAAAUGAAUUG
rnacentral:rRNA from 1 species